AACGAACGCUGGCGGCAUGCCUAACACAUGCAAGUCGAACGAGAUCUUCGGGUCUAGUGGCGCACGGGUGCGUAACGCGUGGGAAUCUGCCCUUUGGUUCGGAAUAACAGUUGGAAACGACUGCUAAUACCGGAUGAUGACGAAAGUCCAAAGAUUUAUCGCCAGAGGAUGGGCCCGCGUAGGAUUAGCUAGUUGGUGUGGUAAAGGCGCACCAAGCCGACGAUCAGUAGCUGGUCUGAGAGGAUGCAAAGCCACACAGGGAAUGAGAGACGGCCAAGACUCCUACAGGAGGCAGCAGUGGGGAAUAUUGGACAAUGGGCGAAAGCCUGAUCCAGCAAUGCCGCGUUAGUGAUGAAGGCCUUAGGGUUGUAAAGCUCUUUUACUCGGCAUGAUAAUGACAGUACCGGGAGAAUAAGCUCCGGCUAACUCCGUGCCAGCAGCCGCAGUAA
rnacentral:rRNA from 1 species